CAGCGGAGGGAUCAUUACCGAGUUUACAACUCCCAAACCCCAAUGUGAACGUUACCAACCUGUUGCCUCGGCGGGUCUCUGCCCCGGGCGCGUCGCAGCCCCGGACCAAGGCGCCCGCCGGAGGACCAACUUACAAACUCUUUUUUCUUGCACGGGAGACGUCCUCGCGGACUCUCUUCGUCUCUUAUAGCCUCUGAGCUUUCUCGGCGCCCCUAGCGGGCGUUUCGAAAAUGAAUCAAAACUUUCAACAACGGAUCUCUUGGUUCUGGCAUCGAUGAAGAACGCAGCGAAAUGCGAUAAGUAAUGUGAAUUGCAGAAUUCAGUGAAUCAUCGAAUCUUUGAACGCACAUUGCGCCCGCCAGUAUUCUGGCGGGCAUGCCUGUCCGAGCGUCAUUUCAACCCUCGAGCCCCUCCGGGGGGUCGGCGUUGGGGAUCGGCCUCCCGCCUCGGCGGAUUGCCGGCCCCGAAAUGCAGUGGCGGUCUCGCCGCAGCCUCUCCUGCGCAGUAGUUUGCACACUCGCAACGGGAGCGCGGCGCGUCCAAUGCCGUAAAACAACCCAAACUUCUGAAAGGUUGACCUCGGAUCAGGUAGGAAUACCCGCUGAACUUAAGCAUAUCAAUAAGCGGAGGAAAAGAAACCAACAGGGAUUGCCCCAGUAACGGCGAGUGAAGCGGCAACAGCUCAAAUUUGAAAUCUGGCCCCUCUCGGGGUCCGAGUUGUAAUUUGUAGAGGAUGCUUUUGGCGAGGCGCCGCCCGAGUC
rnacentral:rRNA from 1 species